rnacentral:rRNA from 1 species
CAAUGGCGUAAACAGAGGGAAGCGAACCCGCGAGGGGAGCGGAUCCCAAAAAUAACGUCCCAGUUCGGAUUGUAGUCUGCAACCCAACUACAUGAAGCCGGAAUCGCUAGUAAUCGCAGAUCAGCAUGCUGCGGUGAAUACGUUCCCGGGUCUUGUACACACCGCCCGUCACACCAUGGGAGUCGGAAAUGCCCGAAGUCGGUGACCCAACCGAAAGGAGGGAGCCGCCGAAGGCAGGUCUGAUAACUGGGGUGAAGUCGUAACAAGGUACC